GUGCUGCUGAAGAGUCCAAAAUAAGACAAAACAUAUGUCCAGUAC
rnacentral:hammerhead_ribozyme from 1 species